GGCACAAACUUGUAGUAGAAAAGUUGGGUCUGGUCAACUGGUUCUACUAAUCUACUCUACUUCAAGUUUGUGCUC
rnacentral:pre_miRNA from 1 species